CCGGACGCGACGGCAGCCCGCUCUCGAGCUAACUCUCCAUCGCAUCGUGCAGCUGUCUUUCUUCUCUUUCACGAACACGGUUGCCCGACUGAAACAACUAGACCACAUUAGUAGCCUGACAUCAAGAUAGGUCUCUAUUAUGUGCCCAUCCGUCUGAUUAAGUCUUCUUUGGAGCAAACUGUCAGACAUUUGCGGUAGUAUACAGCUGAAAUGGAAUUUCCGUUCAACCAAACAGUAUACUUCAAGGCUAUUUCUCAGCGACGAGGGUUAGCUCCAGGUAGCAGUAGCAGGCUGGAAGUAACACACAUGUGCAGUGUUUCAGUCGAAAACGAAUACCACCCAUUCAAAAUCGGUUAUAGGAUCUUGUCCAUAUGUCCAUAUUUUUGUAUGCAUGUGAAACAUGGACCAUGACAGCAGACAUUAAAAGAAGGAUACAGGCACUGGAGAUGAAAUGUUUCCGCAAACUCCUCAGUAUCUGGUAUAGAGAUCACAUAACCAACGAGGUAGUGAAAAUCAGAAUUGGAAACACCAUAGGGCCGUAUGAAGACCUCCUGACUUCAGUGAAAAGAUGCAAAGUAAAGUGGUAUGGGUAUGUCACAUGAUCAUUUGGACUGGCCAAGACUAUUCUACAUGGAACAGUACAAGGAGGGAGACGAAAAGGCAGGCAGAGGAAACGAUGGGAAGACAACAUUAACGAGUGACCUUGACUGAAACAUCAUACUUCGUAAAGCCAAGAACCACGAGGAGUGGAGGAAGCUGGUAGUAUAAAUCUUCAGUGGUGCCCCAAGGGUCAGCCAGACUGUGGGAUAGGUGAAGGUGAAGGUGAAGGAAGCUAAGAAUCAGAUAGUUAGACAUUAUAUUGGAUCAUUUAUCCUUUCCUUCAAAAGAAAUGUUGCUUUAUACUGUAGCACAUAAACAAUGCUUUUUAAUUGGCAAUAUUUCAGUUCAGUACGCUUGUUAUUAAUUUCAUCAAACAUUAAAAUGUAAAAGGGAGAAACACUGUCAUUUGAAAAUCAAAAUGUAAGUCAUAAAAAUUUCACUGUCUAACUAUCUGAAUCUUGUCAGGAUCCAUGUACGAGUUAGUGCAAUUCUUUUCUCUUCACUACAACCGCAUUGAUUUACUUUAAUAGCAUGUUACUAGGUACAUCAAUUGAUGAGAAAAAGCAGCAAAACGCUUUAAAUUUGUUGUAGUCUUAAAAUUAAAGUUGGAAGUUUCCUAAAAAGGGAAUUUUAGAACACUCCUUCAACUGACAUGCACGGAUGUUAUACUUAUAAUUUCCAUACAUUAAUGUCUUUGUAAUGCAUGUUACCAAACAAAAAAAAGUAUCAUCAACCAUUCUUGUCAUUUCCUGUGCAAUUAUUUUCACAUCCUGGCUUAACAGUACAUAAACAGUGCUCUUUUAUUUUCAAUAUUUCAGAAAAAUGCAUUUGCAUUAUGAUACAUGCAGGUAUAGUUGGUCAAGUAAGAAUAUAUUUACAGCAUGCUCACUAUGAAUUGAUUAAAUCGCCAUUGAAUCUAAAAGGUAUGUUAUACCUCAUUGUAUAUUCAGAAGGAAAAAGUGUGAGGAUAGCUU
rnacentral:lncRNA from 1 species